rnacentral:tRNA from 1 species
GUCUUCGUGGUGUAAUGGCUAACACACUCGACACGUAUUCGAGAGGUCCAAGGUUCGAGUCCCGGCGAGGGAA